GACGAACGCUGGCGGCGUGCUUAACACAUGCAAGUCGAACGGAAAGGCCCCCACCUUGGUGGGGGUGCUCGAGUGGCGAACGGGUGAGUAACACGUGGGUGAUCUGCCCUGUACUUCGGGAUAAGCUUGGGAAACUGGGUCUAAUACCGGAUAGGACCAUGGUUUAGUGUCUCAUGGUGGAAAAAUUAUUGUUUUGGUGCAGGAUGAGCUCGCGGCCUAUCAGCUUGUUGGUGGGGUAAUGGCCUACCAAGGCGUCGACGGGUAGCCAGCCUGAGAGGGUGGACGGCCACAUUGGGACUGAGAUACGGCCCAGACUCCUACGGGAGGCAGCAGUGGGGAAUAUUGCACAAUGGGCGCAAGCCUGAUGCAGCGACGCCGCGUGGGGGAUGACGGCCUUCGGGUUGUAAACUCCUUUCGUUAGGGACGAAGCCACAC
rnacentral:rRNA from 1 species